rnacentral:rRNA from 1 species
CCAACAGGGAUUGCCUCAGUAACGGCGAGUGAAGCGGCAACAGCUCAAAUUUGAAAUCUGGCCCCAGGCCCGAGUUGUAAUUUGCAGAGGAUGCUUUUGGUGCGGUGCCUUCCAAGUUCCCUAGAACGGGACGCCAGAGAGGGUGAGAGCCCCGUACAGUUGGACACCAAGCCUUUGUAAAGCUCCUUCGACGAGUCGAGUAGUUUGGGAAUGCUGCUCAAAAUGGGAGGUAUAUUUCUUCUAAAGCUAAAUACCGGCCAGAGACCGAUAGCGCACAAGUAGAGUGAUCGAAAGAUGAAAAGCACUUUGAAAAGAGGGUUAAACAGCACGUGAAAUUGUUAAAAGGGAAGCGCUUGUGACCAGACUUGCGUCCGGUGAAUCACCCAGCUCUCGCGGCUGGGGCACUUCGCCGGCUCAGGCCAGCAUCAGCUCGCUGUCGGGGACAAAAGCUUCAGGAACGUAGCUCUCUUCGGGGAGUGUUAUAGCCUGUUGCACAAUACCCUUCGGCGGGCUGAGGUACGCGCUCCGCAAGGAUGCUGGCAUAAUGGUCAUCAGCGACCCGUCUUGAAACACGGACCAAGGAGUCAACCUUAUGUGCGAGUGUUCGGGUGUCAAACCCCUACGCGUAAUGAAAGUGAACGCAGGUGAGAGCUUCGGCGCAUCAUCGACCGAUCCUGAUGUUCUCGGAUGGAUUUGAGUAAGAGCAUAUAGGGUUGGACCCGAAAGAAGGUGAACUAUGCGUGUAUAGGGUGAAGCCAGAGGAAACUCUGGUGGAGGCUCGCAGCGGUUCUGACGUGCAAAUCGAUCGUCAAAUAUGCGCAUGGGGGCGAAAGACUAAUCG